AUUGAACGCUGGCGGCAGGCCUAACACAUGCAAGUCGAGCGGCGCGUCGGACGGGUGAGUACUGCCUAGGAAUCUGCCUGGUAGUGGGGGAUCCCGUCCGGAAACGGGCCCUAAUACCGCAUACUAUCAGAUGAGCCUCGGUCGGAUUAGCUCGUUGGUGGGGUAAAGGCCUACCAAGGCGACGAUCCGUAACUGGUCUGAGAGGAUGAUCAGUCACACUGGAACUGAGACACGGUCCAGACUCCUACGGGAGGCAGCAGUGGGGAAUAUUGGACAAGGGGCGAAAGCCUGAUCCAGCCAUGCCGCGUGUGUGAAGAAGGUCUUCGGAUUGUAAAGCACUUUAAGUUGGGAGGCGUUACCAACAGAAGAAGCACCGGCUAACUUCGUGCCAGCAGCCGCGGUAAUUC
rnacentral:rRNA from 1 species